GUUCAGGAUAGCCGAAUGGUUAUGGCAUCGGACUUCUCAUCCGAUUGACUGCUGUGUCUGUAGGUUCGAUUCCUGCCCCUGAACA
rnacentral:tRNA from 1 species